rnacentral:rRNA from 1 species
CCUACGGGAGGCAGCAGUGGGGAAUAUUGCACAAUGGCGGGAACCCUGAUGCAGCGACGCCGCGUGAAGGAAGAAGUAUUUCGGUAUGUAAACUUCUAUUAGCAGGGAAGAAAAUGACGGUACCUGACCAUGAAGCCCCGGCUAACUACGUGCCAGCAGCAGCGGGAACACGGAGGGGGCAAGCGUGAUCCGGAUUUACCGGGUGUAAAGGGGGCGUAGGCGGCAGUGCAAGGCAGAAGGGAAAGCCCAAGGCUCAACCAUGGGACUGCUUUUGAAACUGUACAGCUAGAUUGCAGGAGAGGUAAGUGGAAUGCCUAGUGUAGCGGUGAAAUGCGUAGAUAUUAGGAGGAACACCAGUGGCGAAGGCGGCUUACUGGACGGUAAAUGACGCUGAGGCUCGAAAGCGUGGGGAGCAAACAGGAUUAGAUACCCGUGUAGUC